rnacentral:rRNA from 1 species
AGAGUUUGAUUAUGGCUCAGGACGAACGCUGGCGGCGUGCUUAACACAUGCAAGUCGAGCGAGGCCCACUCUUCGGGGUGGUGCCCCAGCGGCGAACGGGUGAGUAACACGUGGGCAACCUGCCCUCAGCUCUGGGAUAACUCCAAGAAAUUGGUGCUAAUACCGGAUGUGACCGCUGACCGCAUGGUCUGGUGGUGGAAAGAUUCAUCGGCUGGGGAUGGGCCCGCGGCCUAUCAGCUUGUUGGUGGGGUCACGGCCCACCAAGGCGACGACGGGUAGCCGGCCUGAGAGGGUGACCGGCCACACUGGGACUGAGACACGGCCCAGACUCCUACGGGAGGCAGCAGUGGGGAAUAUUGCGCAAUGGGCGAAAGCCUGACGCAGCGAUGCCGCGUGGGGGAUGACGGCCUUCGGGUUGUAAACCUCUUUCAGUAGGGACGAAGCGUAAGUGACGGUACCUACAGAAGAAGCACCGGCCAACUACGUGCCAGCAGCCGCGGUAAUACGUAGGGUGCAAGCGUUGUCCGGAAUUAUUGGGCGUAAAGAGCUCGUAGGCGGUCUGUCACGUCGGCUGUGAAAACCCGAGGCUCAACCUCGGGCCUGCAGUCGAUACGGGCAAACUAGAGUGUUGCAGGGGAGACUGGAAUUCCUGGUGUAGCGGUGAAAUGCGCAGAUAUCAGGAGGAACACCGGUGGCGAAGGCGGGUCUCUGGGCAACAACUGACGCUGAGGAGCGAAAGCGUGGGGAGCGAACAGGAUUAGAUACCCUGGUAGUCCACGCCGUAAACGUUGGGCGCUAGAUGUGGGGGCCAUUCCACGGUCUCCGUGUCGCAGCUAACGCAUUAAGCGCCCCGCCUGGGGAGUACGGCCGCAAGGCUAAAACUCAAAUGAAUUGACGGGG